GACUAGUCGAGCGACUGAUUAGAAGCUUGCUUCUAUGACGUUAGCGGCGGACGGGUGAGUAACACGUGGGCAACCUGCCUGUAAGACUGGGAUAACUUCGGGAAACCGAAGCUAAUACCGGAUAGGAUCUUCUCCUUCAUGGGAGAUGAUUGAAAGAUGGUUUCGGCUAUCACUUACAGAUGGGCCCGCGGUGCAUUAGCUAGUUGGUGAGGUAACGGCUCACCAAGGCAACGAUGCAUAGCCGACCUGAGAGGGUGAUCGGCCACACUGGGACUGAGACACGGCCCAGACUCCUACGGGAGGCAGCAGUAGGGAAUCUUCCGCAAUGGACGAAAGUCUGACGGAGCAACGCCGCGUGAGUGAUGAAGGCUUUCGGGUCGUAAAACUCUGUUGUUAGGGAAGAACAAGUACGAGAGUAACUGCUCGUACCUUGACGGUACCUAACCAGAAAGCCACGGCUAACUACGUGCCAGCAGCCGCGGUAAUACGUAGGUGGCAAGCGUUAUCCGGAAUUAUUGGGCGUAAAGCGCGCGCAGGCGGUUUCUUAAGUCUGAUGUGAAAGCCCACGGCUCAACCGUGGAGGGUCAUUGGAAACUGGGGAACUUGAGUGCAGAAGAGAAAAGCGGAAUUCCACGUGUAGCGGUGAAAUGCGUAGAGAUGUGGAGGAACACCAGUGGCGAAGGCGGCUUUUUGGUCUGUAACUGACGCUGAGGCGCGAAAGCGUGGGGAGCAACAGGAUUAGAUACCCUG
rnacentral:rRNA from 1 species